rnacentral:rRNA from 1 species
UACGGAGGGUGCGAGCGUUGUCCGGAAUCACUGGGCGUAAAGGGCGCGUAGGCGGCCACCGCAAGUCAGUUGUGAAAUCUCUGGGCUUAACCCAGAAAGGUCAACUGAUACUGCGGGGCUAGAGUGCAGAAGGGGCAACUGGAAUUCUCGGUGUAGCGGUGAAAUGCGUAGAUAUCGAGAGGAACACCUGCGGCGAAGGCGGGUUGCUGGGCUGACACUGACGCUGAAGCGCGAAAGCUAGGGGAGCGAACGGG